GGGGGCUUAGCUCAAUAGUAGAGUGUUUCAUUGACAUUGAAAAAGUAGACGGAGCGUAACCGUCAGUCCCCACCA
rnacentral:tRNA from 5 species